rnacentral:rRNA from 1 species
AUGAUGCCACUUAGCGAUGAAGACUCAAGAAGACUGUUCUUUAAUAGGAUAUAUAACUCUGAAGAAGCUUGCCCUCGCCAGUUUCGGGAUAUUUCUAAUGAAAUUCUCAAAAAAUGUGAUGGUAUGCCACUUGCUAUUAUUACUAUAUCAGGCAUGCUAAGUAGUGAACGCUUCGACCAAGAGCAUUGGGAACAUAUACGGGAUUCUCUAGGUUCAGGAACAAAUUUCACGUUGGAAGGGAUGAGGAAAAUCUUAGACCUCAGCUACAAGAACCUUCCUUAUCUUGGUAUGUAUCCCGAGGACCUCAAAAUACAGAGGCAUCAUUUGGAACUUCAAUGGGUUGCCGGAGAUUUUAUUAGUAAAGAGAAGGGACAAGAUGUAGAGAAGGUUGCAAGAAGUUAUUUCAACGAGCUUGUCAACAGGAGCCUUAUUCAACCUGUAAGAUUUGACAACUGUGGAUCGGUCACACAUUGCAAAGUUCACGAUAUGAUGCGCGAUCUUAUCUUGUCUAAGUGUGCCGACGAGAAUUUUCUCACCAUAGUGGAUGACCCUCAAGCCAUCACAGAACUGGAUAACAAUGUCCGUCGACUGUCUCUCCACCCGGAUGAAGAAAUUAUUGAAACAAAGUUAUGGGGUAACAUUUGUCUGUCACAAGUUCGGACUUUUAUGAUCUUUGGUGAUUGUGAGGGUAUGCCUCCUCUGCGACUGUUCAACUUCCUUCGAGUUCUGCGUAUUGAAAAUUCUGGAUUGGAUGGAGUUGACCUCACACUAGUGCAGAACAGGCCUUUAUCACCGGUUCGUAAGGGCCUUUAG